CGGGUGCACUGAUCCAGCCGGGCCUUUCCCUCUGUGGAACCCCAUGGCCUUCACUGGCUGUGGUGGGGAAACAGGACUUUUACUUUGAAAAAAUUAGAGUGCUCCAGGCAGGCCUAUGCUCGAAUACAUUAGCAUGGAAUAAUGGAAUAGGACGUGUGGUUCUAUUUUGUUGGUUUCUAGGACCGCCGUAAUGAUUAAUAGGGACAGUCGGGGGCAUCAGUAUUCAAUUGUCAGAGGUGAAAUUCUUGGAUCUAUUGAAGACUAACUACUGCGAAAGCAUUUGCCAAGGAUGUUUUCAUUGAUAAGGAACGAAAGUUAGGGGAUCGAAGACGAUCAGAUACCGUCGUAGUCUUAACUAUAAACUAUGCCGACUAGGGAUCGGACGAUGUUAUUCUUUGACGCGUUCGGCACCUUUCGAGAAAUCAAAGUGCUUGGGCUCCAGGGGGAGUAUGGUCGCAAGGCUGAAACUUAAAGAAAUUGACGGAAGGGCACCACCAGGGGUGGAACCUGCGGCUUAAUUUGACUCAACACGGGGAAACUCACCAGGUCCAGACACAGUGAGGAUUGACAGAUUGAGAGCUCUUUCUUGAUUCUGUGGGUGGUGGUGCAUGGCCGUUCUUAGUUGGUGGAGUGAUUUGUCUGCUUAAUUGCGAUAACGAACGAGACCUUAACCUGCUAAAUAGCCCGUACUGCUUUGGCAGUUCGCCGGCUUCUUAGAGGGACUAUCGG
rnacentral:rRNA from 1 species